CAGGCCUAACACAUGCAAGUCGAACGGUGAUGCGGAGCUUGCUCCGCGGAUCAGUGGCGAACGGGUGAGUAACACGUGAGUAACCUGCCCUUGACUCUGGGAUAAGCGUUGGAAACGACGUCUAAUACCGGAUAGGACUUCCACAGGCAUCUGUGGGGGUGGAAAGAUUUUUCGGUCAUGGAUGGACUCGCGGCCUAUCAGCUUGUUGGUGGGGUGAUGGCCUACCAAGGCGACGACGGGUAGCCGGUCUGAGAGGAUGACCAGCCACACUGGAACUGAGACACGGUCCAGACUCCUACGGGAGGCAGCAGUGGGGAAUAUUGCACAAUGGGCGCAAGCCUGAUGCAGCCAUGCCGCGUGUAUGAAGAAGGCCUUCGGGUUGUAAAGUACUUUCAGCGGGGAGGAAGGUGUUGAGGUUAAUAACCUCAGCAAUUGACGUUACCCGCAGAAGAAGCACCGGCUAACUCCGUGCCAGCAGCCGCGGUAAU
rnacentral:rRNA from 1 species